UUGUUGCCAAAUCAAAAUUUGACAAUCUUUUUGUGUACCUGACUGGCUCAAUGUCCCCAUAGAAAAUAAUGGCAAAAAUACAAAAAACUAAAAUAUUAUUAACUUAAUAAAAUCAUCCACUACAUAAUCAUUCAUUAUCUUUACAAUUAACCAUCUAAAGCUACCACAGUUCUUCAAUCAAAGUAUAUAUCUACAUAUAUAGAGAGAGUACACUUCAUAAUUUCGUCCCUUGUCUUCCGUAAACGUAGCACAAAAAUUUGAUACCCAGUAUUGUAAGGCAGGUCGUAGAAACAGUCUUCCUGCACAUAUUUAAAAAUAAUAGCAAAGUCAAUAAAAUAAUAGCAAAGUCUGUAAAAUAAUGGCAAAGUCAAGAAAACGUGCUAAAUUUACCCAAACUGCAUUAUUCAAUAACUUAUUACAAAUGGAAGAUGAAAAGAUCAACCUAUUUUGAUCACUAAAAGAAAAUAUAUAUACAUAACAUAAAACGAAGGUCAUCAUUAGAGCAUAUUUAAUAAAGCUUUAUCCUAGUCUGGAUGGUGCUUCAACAUAUAGGACAGAGAUGAAGGUCUUGUCCACAUUCACAAUAUAUCUGCAAAUAAGAACGAAAAAGAAAACUUGAAGAUACACUUUAGUCAUGUUCUCUAAAAAUGAAAACCAAAAACAUUUUGACAGUGAUACAUGAUGUCCACAACCAAACGCCAUAUCCCUAGGAUUGGUAAUGCAAAUGGGGAAUAACUGUCACAAGGCAGACAAGAAACAAUUUACUAUGAUUCCCAACAAUACAUGAAUAUUCCAAUACUAAAUCCAUUAAUGGUAUGAUGCAUCACUAGAAUAAAAUAGAGCAAAUAACAAACACCAGAAAUAUAAAGGUUAUAUUCACCUCGAAAUCAGUACUACAAACACAGAGCUCAUACAUAACACAUAUAUAUAAUGAGCAGCUAGUUCAGUAAGAACUCACCAGCUUGUACUGCUAACUAUGACUAUGUAGUGUUGGUGUAUUUUUCUUCUUAUGCUUGGCUGUCUUUUAUAGCCGAAUGGAAGAGGAGAGGAGUAAAUGAGGUUGUCAUGAAAAUCAACGGGCGGGGACGGGAUAAAAUUCAAGGGGCGGGAAUUAAAUGGGUGAGGAAAAUAACGUUGACCAACAAUAUGCUGCACUUCAGCUUUUAUACAAAUUUCGGGUAAGUAAAGAUAUUCAAGAUUUCAACUAUUUUUUUAUGAAUAACAAAAAACAGAUUCAAUUUUCAUAGAAACUUGAAACUUAUUGUUUGGCUAUUAGAAAAUAUAAAUAUCAACUAUUAUAGCAAAAAGAAACAACAAGAACCUACUAUUGAUUAGUUUUCUGUAUUUAAGCCUUUGGCGACCUGCACCAACAGCGCCUGAAGUCACUAAAAUAAUUUCAAAGCCAAGGGAGCUUAACUUUUCAAGCUGCAGGCAGAUCAAUCGGUACACAAGAUUGUCAGCAAUAUACUUCACCCACAAGGGCCAUCUUAGAUCAAUAAAGAGAAGAAGAGAUUCUCGACAACUCAAGAAUACAAGGCAUAAAUAAGAGCAUAAAUAUGUGAUGCCUCAUCUUAACUUAAUAUGCCUUUCCCUAUUUUCCCUUUUCCUUUUUAUCUUCAUUUUUAGUCCGUUCCAAACUUAAGAGAUACGUUUCUAGUUUUAGACUAUAAAGUCACAUGACAUUCCCAACAUGCCAUGACGUAUAAGGUAGGUAGAUUGAGUACUAACAUGCCAAAACUAAGUACUACAAUGAUGUUAGGAAUAUGUUUGGAAAAAUAAAAUUUUCCUUAAAAUUCAUCUUUUAUAAAUGUAUAUAUGAUUUUGGAACUGAUGAAGUCUUUAUGAAGAAACAAAAUAUCAAAAUCUAGCUAGUUGAUUCCUCUUGUUCUAAAAAAGUACGCAGCGUAAGAUACUCAGUUACCUACUCAAAAAUAGCUCCUACUCUGCCGACUGCCAACCUUCCAUCACUUCGUGUAACAACAGUUGUUCCUACCUUCAGUGUUUUACAUAAAGAUUAUUGAUAACAUCAAAUCCCCAAAUUAAAACAAAUUUUAACAUAACAUGUUUAUCUAAAGAGAAAGAUAGCAGUUUCAUCUCAUGGGAUACAGAAUUAUAAGCAGGUGGACCUAUGAAAUUCAUUGAUAUUAUCCACACAACAGUGUACGAAAACUUUUCUUAAGGAAAUUAUUUCCGCAGAUGCCUGUUUUGAUUAUCGCAAGUGGUCCUCCUGCUCUUUAAAUGUGUUUCAUAUACAAGGCCAUUUUUUGAAAUUACAGGGCUUAUAUCAUUUUCAAGUCAAUACUAUACUACACUCUACGUUCCUUAAUAUUGGUCGUUUUAGAGUUGUGCACAAGUAUUAAAGAAAUGAUUGUAAAACAUUAAAUAUACUAUCAAUUGUCUAUAUUGCCCUUGUAUUAGAAAAAGAGAGUGUUAUUUAUUGGUCAAAAAAUAGUGAGAGAACCAAAGUUAUAUUUAUUACUUGGGAUAAUAUUAGAAACUAAGCAAUUAAUAUUUACUUGAAAUUCUCAAACGACUUAUAUUUAGGAACAAAAACAUUUCUCCAAAACGAACUAUAUUAAGGAAUGGAGGUAGUAAUAAUUAAUUACAGCAGUUGAAAACUUUUGAUAUACUUGUUAGAAGCUACAUAAUUCUCCAGAAAACAGACAAAAAAAUGCAGAAACUUGAUUUUUCUACAGGAAAAAAAAACAAUUACCAGUCACAUUUUUGUCUAUGCCCAAAUCCUCAUCGUCCUAAAAUAACUAAUUAAUUUAAAAACCAAGAUAUUUGGGAAAUGUUAAAAUUGUGAGGUAUCAUCAACUCACAUGCAUGGAAUCUGGAUGUGCCAAAGCUUACUUAUAUAACUAUGCACGUAUAUAUACAUAUGUACAUAUAUCUAAAUAUAUAUCCACACUGACAUAUAUAUAAUUUUUUAUCAUUUUGACCUAUUGAUAUGUAAAUCAACGUAAAGAAAUCUUGAUCCGGUUAGCAUGCAAACUUAUAUUAUAUUAUUAAUUUGAAGGCCAGCAAUGAAACCUUUAUGACAACACGCUUGACGUUUUUUACAAAAUCUCGAGUAGGAUCCAUGGCUGCAGCUGGAUACUGAGUCCACUCGUACGAACCGAGUUUGGGUGGAGGGAGACUGAGUCAGACCCGUGAUGGGGUUGCUCUGAGAAGAAGAAGACGAAGAAAGAAAGAGGGACUGUCUUUUGAUUGAAAUAGAAGUGCUAUAUAGCAAAUUAACUGAUCAAACAAUCUAAAAAAGGAAAAGAUUUAUAUUUGGGAUAAACAUAAAAAUAUGAUUAAAUACAUUAAUUAUUUAUACAUGUAUAGCAACGAUAAAAAAUCGUCGCUAUAAGGUCUAUAGCGAUGAUUUUCAUGUUGAAAAUAUCAGUUCCCUAUAUUUAUACACAACAAAGAUUGAAAUUUUAUUGCAAUGUGUAGGACUCGCCUAAUUUUUUUUAUACACCAGCUUGUACUGCUAACUAUGAGUUCAGUAAGACUAUAUCAGUGCCAACCUGGGUUGUAAAUAAAGUAGCAUUUAAAUCAUGUCUAUCUGUACCUAUCAUUUAUACAAAUCACAGAUGUGUGUAAAUAUCCAAGUAAGACUCUCUGCUCUUGCACAACUUCACCAGACAUAGAAUUGAAAAUUGAAUUUCUCAAGUACAAUACCAUUGCUGAUGCAGUCUUGAAGACCAUAAGACUCAUCCAGAUUUUUACUAAUCCUGCAAAACAACUAGAAGCCACAGUCCAAUUAUAAAUUGCCAAGUCAAAGUACUCUUGAGAGUGAGUUGAGAUAUAAAUAUGAUUUACUUUGUGCUUCUCUUCGAGUGAAGUAGGAUGAAAAAACUCAGGAGGCUGAUCGUAUAGAACUGUAGCUCUAAAAUUUAGAAACGCAAUGAGGACCAAAUUAUAUUAUAACAGAGGACUAAAAAUGUGAAUAGGCAAAAUGCAGUAUAGUUUGUAUUAUCGAGCAGAUCCUCUUACUUAAUUCCCCAGUUUUGAGCCAAUUUAAGUUGCAUUGCUUGUGUCACACAUAGGAAACUAACUAAUCCUGCUAAUUAUAAUACCAACAAAUAUGUGGAGAUUAUUAUUAGAAAAUUCCAAAAUUAGUAGUUAUGUCCAAGUGUCGGUACGGAUUUAAUAUGUUACUUUGGCAUCAUGUGUAGAAAAUACUGAAAAGUUUUUGAUCAAUACCAAUCGAAGUUCAAAAUAAAAUUGUUAUGGUGAGGCUUAAAUCUGCCAUUUAUUCAAGUAAAAAAAAAUUAAACAAAAUACUGUAUGCAGAAGGGGCCAUAAGCACUAGGAACUACAAACAUGUACAAAUUGCUAUUAUGCACAUAAAACCAACUGUUGGUCAAAGUAACAUAACAUAAUAAUGUUAAGGAAACUAAUACUGCUGAGGUGAAUGAAUUUAAAGUACAAACCUUCCUGAAGUCAUCCCUUGAGAAAUUCUCAACCAUUUUGGGACCUGAUGAGAAGAAGCCGAGGGCUGUAUGUAACAAUUCCAACGCGGAGUUCUCUACAGAAUUGCAAAGAUUAUUACAACUGAUUUUUGAUAUCAGGAGGGGCAUGUAGCCUGCAUAUAUAUGGAUUAAUGUAGGACAUAGUAAUUUCUCACCUACAAGUCGGAACAAUUUCUCACCUACUCUGAGUUAUUUCCCCAAAGGCCACAAAAAUUAUUACAAAUUACCCUUUUAUUAUUCCAUGGAAAACAAUUUAAACAACAACAAAAAUUGAAAUUUUCAUCAAGUUAACAAAUAACCAGAUCUCAAAACCUCCCAAUCAACCAAAUAACAUAAACUAAAACAUCCGAUUCCGAGUUCGAGAUCUGGAUUCGAAGAAGUUGCAGCAAAAGAAGAGAAGACGAGAAGAAAUUAAGAAAAGGAGAAGGACUCACCAGAGAAAAGAGAUUCAGAGAAGAAGCAAGGUUCCGACUUUCGAUUUCAAGUUCGAGAUCUGGAUUCUGCUCUUCUCAGUUUGGGAUGAGAGUAUUCAGAGAUUCAGAUCGAGACUUGAGAGUUCGACUUCACUCUUCGGAGUCUUGGGGCCUAGGGCUAGUAAUGCGCUAAGUAGUGAGUGUUGACUGCUGAG
rnacentral:lncRNA from 1 species